AACAGAAAUCAAUAGCAAGAGACUGAAGUGCAUAUUCUACAUUUUAACUUAAAAAUCUUGUAAAUCUGUAAGAUUUAAGAUUUUAAAACAUUUUUAUUUUAUGUGUAUGAGUGUUUAUUGAAUGUUUGGACACCAUGUGUGUGCAUGGUUCUUCAAUGCUGUAAGAGGGCAUUAGACCCCCUGGGACUGCAGUGACAAUUAUGAGCUGUCAUGGGUGCAGGAAAUUGAACCCAGGUCUUGGAAGACUGGCCUGUGCUCUUUGACUGCGGAACCAUCUCACCAGCUUCUAAGCUUAAAUUGUAUAGUUACUGGGACAAGAUUAUCUUUUUUUUUCUUAAAAUAAUUUAUAAAUGAGCUGAAAAUGAUCUGUAUUUAGUGAAGAAAGAAUAUAAAUCAAGUAUUUGUUACUUUAAUGCAUAUUCAUCAAACAGUAUGGCCAUACAAAGACCUUUUCUGCUGGGAUCAAAGGCGUGCGCCACCAUGCCCGACAAAGAGGUACUUUUUAUCAGUCAUCACAGGCAAGUAUGACCCAGAGCCAUAACAGGUCACACAGCACACUUGUUAGAAUCACUCCUAAUUCCUUUAAAAAUAAACAAGUGUUGAUGGAGGCUAUGAAGAAAUCUAAGAUGGUGCUGGUGGGAGUGUAAGUGCUUGGCCAUUGUAGAAAACAACAUGGCAGUUUUUCAGAACUAUAAACACAGACUUUACCAUACGUUUGAGUAAUUCUGCUUCAAAGAAAGAAAAACAGGAUCUCAGAGUCACCAGUGAACUCACUUUUAUAGAUGAAAAAGGUGGAUUCUAUAUGCCUGUCACUAUGAGUAGAUGAACACAAUGUACUUAGAGUGUUCCUUGGGCUUUGUCAACCAACAGCAUUCUGAUAUGAUACAUUAUUUGUUUUGUUUUUCCUUAAGAUUUAUUCACUUAUUUGUUGUAUAUGAGUACACUGUAGCUGUACAGAUGGUUGUGAGCCUUCAUGUGGUUGUUGGGAAUUGAAAUUUUUGGGGGGACCUCUGCUCGCUCCAGUUGUCCCUGCUCGCUCCAGUCAACUCCACUUCGGUUGCUCAACUCCGCUUAGCUCAGUCCCUGCUUGCUCUGGCCCAAAGCUCUAUUUAUUGUUAUACUUAAGUACACUAUAGCAUCAGAGGGCAUCAGAUCUCUUUACGGGUGAUUGUGAGCCACCAUAUGGUUGCUGGAAUUUGAAUUUAGGACCUUUGGAAGAGCAGUCAGUCUGUGCUCUUACCCGCUGAGCUAUCUCACCAGCCUUCAUUAUUUGUUUUUUGACUUGGUGAAUCUUAAAGCGGUUGAUACAUUCCAGUCAAAUGCCAUUGUACGUAGUAUAGUACUUAGCAAGCAUGCAUGAGAGCCUUUGGUUCAAUUCCUGAACCACUGAGCUACAUCCCUAGGCCUUCUUCUGCUUUUGGUUUUCGUUUUAACUUUUUAUUUUCAGACAGAAUCUCACCUAGUUGCCUAAUAUGGCUUUGAAGCUGUAGACAGUCUUUGAACUUUUGACCCUCUUGACUCAGCGUCCCAAGUAGCUUUGAUGAGUGUUGACUUAUUCUUCUCCAGAGCCUCUCAGCUCUGCUGCCAGUCAUUCUUUUGCUCAUCCACUGCAACUGUCAGAAAAUAUCUGUUGCUCUCAGCCCAGCUGACAUGGUCACCACUCUUGUGGGAAAAGGGUAGUGGACUGAUUGUUCAUGUUGCUGCUCCUGACAUGUGCUCUGCUAUGUAAAAGGAUUGGUGAGAAUGACCAGAAAUUAGAGUUGGGUUGAGCUACUCUAUAUACUAACUUAAAAUUAUAAAGAAGGAACAGGACAUUAAUUUCUGUUAAAAUGGUAUAAGAACUACUUUUAUCCUUUAUUGCUAGAAUUAGAAGCAUAAAAGAAAGGAAACUCUUGGCCAGUAAUAAGCUUGCUUGAGGGGUGUGUGUGUGUGUGUGUGUGUGUGUGUCCUGUAAUUCACUGUGUAGACCAGGCUGGCUUCGAACUCAGCGGCUUGUCUGUCUCUGUCUCCCAAGUGGUGGAAUUAAAGGCAUAUGCCAUUAGGCCUGGUUUAAGCAUUUCCUUUUUUGAGCCAUUUCUUGGUUGUCAUGUGUAUCUAGGAAGAGUAAUGGUCCAUUUCUGUAGGAGAACUGGGCAGUUGGUAGAAGAAAGGAUAAUAGGACUUCCCAGAGAUCCAAGAGGCAAGGGCUAGAAAACGAUAACAGGUAUACUGAGAAGAUGCAUGUCAUAUGUAGACUUGAUCCAGAAGGGUUGGUAGGAAACUUGGAGGCAGUUCUGAAAACGUGUUAUGCCUUAUUUAUAUUGCAUUGAACCAAUGAGACUGGUACUUUCUCAGCACUUAGUGUUAUAUACAUAUUAUUACUAUUACAAAUAUAUUAAUUACACAAUAAUAAAUAUACAAGGUGUGGGAUCCUGGAGUAGAAAGACAAACUUUGAUAGAAUUCUAUAGUGACUAUAAGCUGUAGUUAUUAUAAGCUUUUAUAUGUCCAGAAAUGUUUUUUGCCUAUCAGAUGUAACAUGCGUAACAUAUCAGUUUCUCUUGUCAGUAUAUAUACGAAUGUUGAAAUACACAAGUUUAAUUCUUUUGAAUCUUUGUCAGGUAAAUUAUUUCUUUCAGUUUUUGUCUUUUUCUAAUUUCUCUUUUGGUUCUGGGGAUUGAACUUGGGGCCUCAUACAGGCCAUAUAUAAACAUGUAUGCUCUUUUCUCUGAGUUACAUGACUAGCUCUCAUUCAGUGUUUUAUAAUGUUGGACAAAUUUUCCUAAGUCAAAGCUUAUUAAUUACUUUAUGAUUAAAAAAUACUCUUCACUGAUGUUAUAUUCCAUAUACAGUAAAAUUUAUGGUAUUAGAUUAGGAUUUCAUAUGUUGCUGUUAUGAUUAAGUAUUCUUAUUAAUGUAUCCUGUUGUCUAGCCUGACUACAGUGUGUGUUAUUUCUAUACAUGCCUUGUGUGUGUUUGUAUAGUGCCAUCUGACAUGCCUUUUUGCCUUCAUGGUCAUAUCAGAAGACAUCCCCCAAUCCUUUUCCCUUUUAGUAGCUUUCCUGGAUAGCAGUUAUCCCCUUAACUAUCACUGUUCCACUUUUUGUGUCAUGUCUUACGUCAUUUGCUUCCUUGCCUGGUAAUUUUACCAUUUAUUCUACUGUCUCUGAUUUUCAGUUUGAUUUAUACCUUCUAAUUGGCCUGCAACAUUUCUUGUCAUGGUGUUCUUUCCAUGGAAGUGAUCUAAGGGAAGAAAAAGUCUUUCUUGACUAAAAUAGUUCAAGCCUAUUUUAGUGUUAAUUGUAAUGCUUUCUCAUUUUUACGUAGGCUCAAAUGAUGCUAUUGCCCCAGACUUUCCACCUCAAAUGCUAGGCACAAGAGACGAUGACCUCUCCAACACUGUAAACAUUAAGCACAAAGAAGGGAUUUAUAGCAAGAGGGCUGCAACAAAGGGGAAAAACCCCUCUCAGAAAGGUGAUGCAGGUAAUGAGUGACCUUGCGUGUUUUCAAAUUUGUUUCUUGAACCUUUGCAUUUGAAGUGAGAAUAGUGUUGUAUUUAUCCAUAUUCUGGUUUGUCAGAAAAUGAGACCCUGAGUUUAAUCCCUACAACGG
rnacentral:lncRNA from 1 species